rnacentral:rRNA from 1 species
GAUGAACGCUGGCGGCGUGCCUAAUACAUGCAAGUCGAGCGAACGGACGAGAAGCUUUCUUCUCUGAUGUUAGCGGCGGACGGGUGAGUAAUACGUAGAUAACCGACCUAUAAGACUAGGGUAACUUCGGGAAACCUGAUAUAAUACAGGAUAAUAUUUUGAACGGCAUGGUUCAAAAGAGAAAGAGCGUUUUGCUGUCACUUAUUGAUGGUACCGCGAUGCAUUAGCUAGUUGGUAAGGUAACGGCUUACCAAGGCAACGAUGCAUAGCUGACCUGAGAGGGUGAUCGGCCACACUGGAACUGAGACACGGUCCAGACUCCUACGGGAGGCAGCAGUAGGGAAUCUUCCGCAAUGGGCGAAAGCCUGACGGAGCAACGCCGCGUGAGUGAUGAAGGUCUUCGGAUCGUAAAACUCUGUUAUUAGGGAAGAACAUAUGUGUAAGUAACUGUGCACGUCUUGACGGUACCUAAACAGAAAGCCACGGCUAACUACGUG